UGGAGAGUUUGAUCCUGGCUCAGGACGAACGCUGGCGGCGUGCCUAACACAUGCAAGUCGAGCGAAGGGAGUACUACGGUACGAACUUAGCGGCGGACGGGUGAGUAACGCGUGGACAAUCUACCCUGUAGACCGGGAUAACACUGCGAAAGUGGUGCUAAUACCGGAUAAUGUCAAGAAGCGGCAUCGUUUCUUGAAGAAAGGAGAAAUCCGCUAUAGGAUGAGUCCGCGUCCCAUUAGCUAGUUGGCGGGGUAAAAGCCCACCAAGGCGACGAUGGGUAGCCGGCCUGAGAGGGUGAACGGCCACACUGGAACUGAGACACGGUCCAGACUCCUACGGGAGGCAGCAGUGGGGAAUAUUGUGCAAUGGGGGAAACCCUGACACAGCGACGCCGCGUGAGCGAAGAAGGCCUUCGGGUCGUAAAGCUCAAUAGUAUGGGAAGAAAUAAAUGACGGUACCAUACGAAAGCCCCGGCUAACUACGUGCCAGCAGCCGCGGUA
rnacentral:rRNA from 1 species